GUUAGAACAAAGGACAGAAAAGACAAGGAGCCAAUGCAGGAGCUGAGGCUCCAUCCUGUGGCUGCUGCAGAAGCCUGGGGGAUGGGGGUAACCUGACGGUUACUUGGUCCCAGGACAGACACACUGGGCUCUGGGAGGCCACAGGAGCAGCUGGAGUAAACCCUGUGGGAAGAGAGAAGAGACCUGUGCUGAGGCGACAGUUGUCUGUGGUGGUUCACAGGGGACAGUCAGGAGCAUAGAUGACCUUCAAUGUCUCCAGCGUACGGCUCCCAGCAUACGGCUCCCUCCGUGACUCCUUCCAUGUGAGUGACCGUCCAGAGAAGGCACCACCCACAGAGAUCCCUGGUAAAAGAGAUGGACUCUUCUUCCGGGAAUCCUUGUGGCAAGAUGGAUGAGAGGAGAAGGAAAGGCCAGGGAAGAUCAGGGAUAAUUUACACAGCAGCAGAUCAGAGGCGUGGAAAGAGCAGAUGGCCUUGGGGACAGAUGCAACAGGAUGCCAAGAACGCUUGGGUCGGGUUCAAGACUCCUCAGACCCGGGAGCUGCUAAGCCUCUCUCUUCCCUCCUCCCUGGAAGACUUGGACACUUGUUAUUUAUUACCUGAGAGCAGAGAACCCGAGAGCCUGAGCCAAGAGCAUAGCCAAAAGCCCGUUGGGAGCUGAUCCAAGCUCAGUGAAGAAUGAGAGUUGGCCAAGAGGACCUGGAGAAAGAAGAGACACCAGUUCUUCACGGCUGGGAGGCACAGAAGCAAGCAGCAGGCACGGAAGCAGGAGGAGGAAGCGGAGUGAUCACCUCUUCAACCUCAAGCAUGAAGCAGAGAGAGAAAUCCGGAAGUGGAGUGUGAGGGCUCAGCUUGAUAGUCAACUUGACCUUAUCUGGAGUCAACUGAACCCCAAGCAGCCAGGCAUGUCAGUAAGGGUUUUUCCCAGUUGGAUUCCUGGAGAUGAAAGACCCCCUAAAUGUGUGCCACACCUUCCGGUGCUCACAGAAAAGAACACGGAAGCAGGAAGCUUGGGGUUUUGUCUGUUUGCCCUCACUCUCGCCAGCAAGUUCGUCUCUCCUGGGCCAUUCCUUUACUUGCGUUUGUAACCUUAAUCUUUUCAAAAACCUAUUUUUUAAUAAUGGUUCAUAAACACUUUAACCUCCCUUGUAGCCCACCACCCACCAGAGGCAGUGGAAAGGAAAGGUUCUUUGGAGCAACUCCCAUCUGUGUUGUCAGGAAAUCAUCAGUUCACAGGUCAGCAGCGGCAGCUCGACCCACUCGAAAACACUUCACGGCUACACCAGCAGUCCAGGUCCAUAAAAUCAGGAUAGCAAACAGGAAUCACCAGCCUUGGCACUACCCAGCAGAGAGAGCCAGGCCUCAGCAGGGGGGACCAGGAGGGACACCAGGAGUUCUCAGCUGUGCUUCUCUCAGGGAAGCGAAGGUCAGACCAGCAGGCGUGCACAGCUAGCUCUAUAAGCAAGCCCAGCUCAGCCUCUGUCACGGUCUUCCCAGUCCUAUUUAUACUCCCUCCGACACGUCUUCUACAUGUCUGGCCUCAGCAUGUGAGUCUGUCUCAGUAGACGUCACUCUGCCCAUCAGCAGAGUCUGAGGAAGUGGCAAGACACUGCAUUCGCCGCCAGAAGUUUUUUUGGUGCGUUUCUCUAUAUGGCGUUCCGACAGAUGCAGCUCAAUUACAAAAUGGAAGGCGUACCAAUACACGUGUGCCGCUAGCAAAGAAUCCAUCGUCACGUAUCCUCUCCCAUGCUUGCUUUAGCAGAACAUCCUUUCACCUGUGUCUGCCACGGCACGACAUGCCUUCACGAGUCUGCCUUAGUCUCUCACCUGUGUCCGCUUCGGCUAAACGUCCCUUCAAGUGUUUGCCCCCGCUAAACACCAUCCAACGAACCCUUAAGUUCCCACUUCAGGUGUCAGAACCUACCUCUUCGGGACGCCAAUGAGGACGGAAGACCAGGAGCUCUCCAGGACUUCCAAGGACCCCAGCACUGUCUUUUAGUUCAUCCUAUCAGUUCUGUUCCCUUAGGGAGACACUAAUGCAUGGGGCAAGGCUAUGAACUCUCAAGGCCUGCUCCAAAGAUAUACUUCUUCUAACAAGGGCACACCUCUUCCCAAGACAGUGCCACCAGCUGGGGACCAAGUGCUCAAUACCCAAGCCUAUUGGGAAUAUUUCUCAUUCAAACCUCCACGCCAUGUAAGCCUGAGUUCAAUCCCUGAAACUCACAUAAAAAAAAAAAAAAGUGGGGUGUGGUGGCAUUCAUCUUAGUCUUCUGUUACCUGAAUGGGAGGUAGUGGGAGGAGGUAGUGGUCUGGGAGCUUUCUGACCGGCUAGCCUAGAGUACUCUGCACAGUGGCAAAAACAAGAGAGACCUUACCCAAUGAAGUGGAAGGCAAGAACGGCCCCUGAAAGGUAUCCUCUGACAUCUACAUGCACACUGUAGCAUACUUAAACACCACCUCAACACACACACACACACACACACACACACACACACACACACACACAAAUGAAUAAAUAUAAAUGUUUAAAUAAAAAAUAAGGGGCUGGGGACUUAGCUCAGUGGUAGAGCACUUGCCUAGGAAGCGCAAGGCCCUGGGUUCGGUCCCCAGCUCCGGAAAA